AUAAAGUCAAAAGGAAGCAAUGGAGUGAGGUGGACAUCUUCCAUGCCGUGAAGGACUUUGGGGAUGGGAUGACUAUCCACCAGGCUGCCAAGGUGUAUAGUGUACCUCGGAAAACCCUGACGGACACUCUGAGCAGCCAGAUAACCCAUGGUUGUCGCAGUGGACCACCCACAUUGCUUGCACCAGGAUGAAAAUUCUCUGGUGCAGUACUAUAUCUACUGCGCUAGCCAUGGGGUUUCCUUUCACCAGACAACGGCUAAUGACACAUCCAACAAAAUGAGCAGGUUUUGGCACCGAGGAGAAAAAAUCUCACUACUGGGGAAGAGGUGGUAGGAAAUGUUCAGGAGGAAGCACAAGAACCUGAGCAUGAGGAUGCCAGACACCCUGGACAGGGGGAUAGCUGAGUGGGCCACCCGUCCGAUGAUGGACAUCACCUUCUUGGAGGAGAGUGGGUUGACGGAGAAACCCAGACAAAUCUUUAACUGCGAUGAGUCUGAGUUUUAUAGCGACCAGAGCAGGCAAUGUCCUGGCUCUCCGGGGUGCAAAACACAUGUACCAGCAGGCUCCGGGAACCAAGGAGCACAUUAAUGCUGGCCUGCAUCCACUCAGCUGAGGAGGAUGUCUCCUUCUCCCCUUCGAUGGGCACAAGAGCCGCAUGGACCCGGAGGUGCUCCCUGUGGCUCAAAGGGAAGGGGUUAUACUACUUUAUCUUCCACCACACUGCACCCAUGUCCAGUGGCAUAUUGUGGCAUAUUGUGGCGCUGUAAGGCUGAGUUCUCCAAGGUAGUUGAAGACCUCAGCCAUUUUCACCACUCCUAUAUGGUAAACAAAUCAGAAUUUGCUAGAGUAUUCUUCUACCUGUACCAGCCCUACUAAGACAUGCUGUAUGUGGUGGAAGGGUCCUUACCUUGCUGAAGUGUCAGCCAGACCGAUACAGAAGACUCCCUGUGGUCGCCACAUACCCCACCAGGGAGGAAUACAUGCCCCAGUGGCAGGAGAGGGGUGAGAGGGCAGAGGAGAAUACUGUUGGGCAGCCCUCAGAACAGAGGGCACGAGAGGGCUACCAUGGAUGAGACCAUCGACGCCAUCGCCUAUGCUGGACCCCCCCCCCCACUGGAACCAUACCUGACAGCUGCAUCACCACUGCCCAUGCCUCCCAGUGUGCAACACCUGUAGGAGCAGGCCAUGUUUAUGCUCUCUCCCAGCCACACGAUUGUCGGUUGCUCAAUCCCACCAACACCAGCUUCUCCAAGCCAUCGGCGUCGGGUUUUGUCCACCACCACAAUGCAAACCAGCCCCCCCUGUCUGUCAACCCCGAAACGGCCUCCUCUGGACCAACUGCCUCCUCCAUCUCCCCUGGUCACUGAACCACACCAGCCUCAUCUGGUAUUCCUGACCACGGCAAUUCGAAUACAGACACCUCUACAGCACAGAAAAGGAAGAGAAAAGCUCUACCGGCCACCUGUCACGCCACCCAUUGCACCACCCUCAGUUACUUCACAAUCUGUUUGUUUCUCUCUCUCUGUUGUAUCAAUUACUAUUGUUGCUGUAUUGCAAACCAUGUUAAUCAAUGGAGCUUGAUUUUUUUAUUGUGAUUUCUGUGAU